GACGAACGCUGGCGGCGUGCUUAACACAUGCAAGUCGAACGGAAAGGCCCUGCUUUUGUGGGGUGCUCGAGUGGCGAACGGGUGAGUAACACGUGAGUAACCUGCCCUUGACUUUGGGAUAACUUCAGGAAACUGGGGCUAAUACCGGAUAGGAGCUCCUGCUGCAUGGUGGGGGUUGGAAAGUUUCGGCGGUUGGGGAUGGACUCGCGGCUUAUCAGCUUGUUGGUGGGGUAGUGGCUUACCAAGGCUUUGACGGGUAGCCGGCCUGAGAGGGUGACCGGCAACAUUGGGACUGAGAUACGGCCCAGACUCCUACGGGAGGCAGCAGUGGGGAAUAUUGCACAAUGGGCGGAAGCCUGAUGCAGAAACGCCGCGUGCGGGAUGACGGCCUUCGGGUUGUAAACCGCUUUCGCCUGUGACGAAGCGUGAGUGACGGUAAUGGGUAAAGAAGCACCGGCUAACUACGU
rnacentral:rRNA from 1 species